GUAACGGCGACGCUCGAUUCCUUCGGCGAAAACAAACCGUUUAUCAGCUCUGCCUUCCAAUAGUAUUGGGCCGUACCACUGUUUCUGACUGGGUGCACGGGAAACAGACCCACCAGCUUGAAGAUCGCAAACGGUCCAGUGCAGCAGUGUGGCUCAGGCCUGUAGGAGCGGUGUGACACCUGUCUACCGCAGAACGUGGACGUGACCAAAGUGAUGGCGAUGUGGCGACGUUGAAAACAAGCAGCAUAAGAGGUGGUGGCCGCCGGCGCGGUUCUCACUUCGAGACCGUAACAAUGCCCAACACCUGCAGUAAAGAUAAGUGCUCACCCAGCGUGAUGGAUCCGUGCUGUGAAGCACAGACGUCUGAAAGUCUGUCUGCUUCUCCCAGCCCUGCACCAACACGGGCACUAUUUUUAUAAUGAAAUGCCACAGAAAGCAACCUCCUGACAAGACGGGAAGCAAACCACAAUGUCUGAUUUCCUGAGUGUACUCUUUAUUGAUUCAUGUACUCGUGUUACUAAUGCACAUGUUCAGCAAUUUACGAAUGUCAUGUAAUAUAUACAUUAAUUUACUGCUGAAUCACUUGCUUUUACAACUGUCUGCAUAUCCACCAUGGGGCACUAGGUGGCGGUAGAGCUCCAUGACUCACAAAGCAAAAUGAUCUAGAGAGGGGGAAAAUGAAAUAUUAAUAACGAAGACAAAUAAAUAAAAUCCAAACUAGAAAUACAACCAGGACUAAAAACUACCAUCAUACACAUAAAUAGGAAAGAUAGUCCAAUUAAAUGUAGCUUAAGUGUAGUCUGUACUGGAAACAUAAUGUCUUGUACUGCUUUAGUUCAAACUAAAAAACAUUGUAAUUAAUUUGGUAAAAGUAUGAAUGUAUAAAUAACAAACAAAACAAAUCAAUUAUCAAUGAUCCAAAUGAAUUUAUAUUUAUUAUAUGUCAGCGGACGAUUUAUGUAAUGGAACCGAACACAGGCUUAGGCAAGGACAGAAUUUAGCGUGUACUGUAUGUCAGCUCUUUAAAUGUACUAUAAUAAAAAACUAUUUGAUAUUUGGCAAAACCUGAAAAGCAAAUGUUAGAGAUGGCUAAGAGUGAGGAGGUCAGCAAGAAUACAGGGAGGAUGAAGAAGAAGAGCAGAGUAAUACAGCACUGAAGGACACUGCAGGGCUGUGGCGAGAACGAUGGUCGGCCUCUGUCAGGUUCUGGGGCAGUAGCAGCUGGGUUACAGGACUGUUAGCCUCAGCAACUGGGAGCUGGAGGAUGUGGUGUAGAAGCUGGGCCAGCAGCCGGACGUCAAGCUGAGCACGGAACACAGUCCAGAAUGAAGGAUGCAUUGUAAAAUAGUGUGCUACUGAUAAUAAUGAGGAGAGCUCCCUGAGUCUGAUUAGGUACAAGACCCUUUACUGAUAAAUAAAAGGCUUUGAGUGUUUAGCAUUUCAUUUGGCCAAUAUUCCAAAGUA